rnacentral:rRNA from 1 species
CCUACGGGAGGCAGCAGUGAGGAAUAUUGGUCAAUGGACGCAAGUCUGAACCAGCCAAGCCGCGUGCAGGAAGACGGCUCUAUGAGUUGUAAACUGCUUUUGUACGAGGGUAAACGCAGAUACGCGUAUCUGUCUGAAAGUACCGUACGAAUAAGGAUCGGCUAACUCCGUGCCAGCAGCCGCGGUAAUACGGAGGAUUCAAGCGUUAUCCGGAUUUAUUGGGUUUAAAGGGUGCGUAGGCGGUCGGGUAAGUUAGAGGUGAAAUCCCGAGGCUCAACUUCGGAAUUGCCUCUGAUACUGGUAGGCUAGAGAGUAGUAGAGGUAGGCGGAAUGUAUGGUGUAGCGGUGAAAUGCUUAGAGAUCAUACAGAACACCGAUUGCGAAGGCAGCUUACCGGGCUACUACUGACGUUGAGGCACGAAAGCGUGGGGAGCAAACAGGAUUAGAUACCCGAGUAGUC